UUGGAGGGCAAGUCUGGUGCCAGCAGCCGCGGUAAUUCCAGCUCCAAUAGCGUAUAUUAAAGUUGUUGCAGUUAAAAAGCUCGUAGUUGAAUUUCGAGACCGGUUUACUGGUCGUGCUUUUGUACGUACUGGUAUUAUUGGUUUCUCCUUUCUGACGAACUAUAAUGCCAUUAAUUUGGUGUUUUAGGGAAUCAGGACUGUUACUUUGAAAAAAUUAGAGUGUUUAAAGCAGGCUCACGCUUGAAUACAUUAACAUGGAAUAACGGAAUAGGACGUUUGAUUCUAUUUUGUUGGUUUCUAGGAUCGACGUAAUGAUUAAUAGGGAUAGUUGGGGGCAUUAGUAUUCAAUUGUCAGAGGUGAAAUUCUUGGAUUUAUUGAAGACUAACUACUGCGAAAGCAUUUGCCAAGGAUGUUUUCAUUAAUCAAGAACGAAAGUUAGGGGAUCGAAGACGAUCAGAUACCGUCGUAGUCUUAACCAUAAACUAUGCCGACUAGGGAUCGGAUGAUGUUAAUUUUUUAAUGACUCAUUCGGCGCCUUACGGGAAACCAAAGUGUUUGGGUUC
rnacentral:rRNA from 1 species